GGACCAGGGGAAUCCAACUCUUUAAUUAAAACAAAGCAUGGCAAAGGUCCGUGGCGGGUGUUGAUGGGAUGUAAUUUCUGCCCAGUGUUCUGAAUGUCAAAGUAAAUUCAAUGAAAUAAACGGCGGGAGUAACUAUGACUCUCUUAAGGUAGCCAAAUGCCUCUUCAUCUAAUUAGUGACGAGCAAGAAUGGAUAAAGGAGAUUCCC
rnacentral:ncRNA from 1 species